CAGAACCUGCUAGCGCAACGGUCAAACACGACCAUAUAUAACGUAUUCUUACAUAUCAAAAACUUUCCAAGCAACAUGAAACCUUCCAAGUGGAGCAGCUACUGAACGACACCAGAGAUAGGAGUCAAAGCACGCGGCAGAAAAGACGCGACCCUUCCAAUUAUCGCAGAGGUGCGAGGCGGCGUGGGGCCGUUUCUCAGACCCUCUCACAGCCCGGAUAACUGAGGUGUGAGCCGAGACUUUACAGGGUGCAAAACACACCUUAAAACAGAUGCAGGAGUGAGAUGCUUGACGGCCCUGGUACCCAUGGAAAACAGCUCAGACAUUUUGUUAAACAUCGCCUUCUGUGUUUUUACAAAAGAAAGUAAGGCAUGCAGAUUUGAGACGACAUGAGGCACAUCAUCCUGCAGAUAUGACACAUACAGGCAGACGGCAGCGCAGACAGACAGGCCACAGAAGCCCACGGCCUGCGGAGAGACACUGAGGUCUACCUGCUGCUGCUCGGGAGGGGAGACCGAGAGAAAGAGAGAGACAGACAGAACUGGAGCCAGUGUAAUGAGCUGUGAAAUUCAGCUGUACACACUCUAUAGCAGCACUGCAUUCAGUGACGCCACAAA